CAACUAUAUCUACACAUGUAUGAAGAACUACAUUCUGGACAGUUUACAAAUUCGAAAAUUUAUACACCAUAUUACAUUGCAUUACAUUAUGCAUCAAAAGAUAUAGGAUUUUCAAUGAAUCCUGCACCUAUAAUGCUACAAAUCGUUGGAUACGCUAAUCGCACAAAUGCAGGAAAAACUGUUCAGAUGUGAUUAAACAAAUAAAGAUGAGCGAAGAAAUCCCACCGCAGCAGCGCUUGCCAGGGAAGCUGUCAGCAAGUAGGCUAAACACAUUUAAUAAUUUGCCUAUUCCAUCACGCGCGCCAGUUGGGAAAAAGAAAAUUCCAGACAAACCAACGACUUCAUUUCCGAAACCAGAUUUUCCGGCAAAAAGACUCACACAACCAGUGUCAAAAGAAACAACCCUGCCUGACAACCCAAUAUUUUAUUC